GCGAACGCUGGCGGCAGGCCUAACACAUGCAAGUCGAACGGACCCUUCGGGGUUAGUGGCGGACGGGUGAGUAACACGUGGGAACGUGCCUUUAGGUUCGGAAUAGCUCCUGGAAACGGGUGGUAAUGCCGAAUGUGCCCUUCGGGGGAAAGAUUUAUCGCCUUUAGAGCGGCCCGCGUCUGAUUAGCUAGUUGGUGAGGUAACGGCUCACCAAGGCGACGAUCAGUAGCUGGUCUGAGAGGAUGACCAGCCACACUGGGACUGAGACACGGCCCAGACUCCUACGGGAGGCAGCAGUGGGGAAUCUUGCGCAAUGGGCGAAAGCCUGACGCAGCCAUGCCGCGUGAAUGAUGAAGGUCUUAGGAUUGUAAAAUUCUUUCACCGGGGACGAUAAUGACGGUACCCGGAGAAGAAGCCCCGGCUAACUUCGU
rnacentral:rRNA from 1 species